AGAGUUUGAUCCUGGCUCCGGAUGAACGCUAGCGGCCGGCCCUAUACCUGCCAGUCCAACGGUAACCUUGGUGCUUGCCCCCGAUGACCAGUGGCGCCCGGGUGCCUAACCCCUAUGCCAUCUACCUUUUACUAGAGUAUAGCCCCGAGAAAUUUGGAUUAAUCCUCCAUAAUAUCUUUAAGUUUCAUGACUUUUAGAUUAAAGUUUUAACGGUAAAAGAUGGCUAUGCGUCCUAUUAGUUAGUUGGUAAGGUAACGGCUUACCAAGACAGCGAUAGGUAGGGGUCCUGAGAGGGAGAUCCCCCACACUGGUACUGAGACACGGACCAGACUCCUACGGGAGGCAGCAGUGAGGAAUAUUGGACAAUGGAGGAGACUCUGAUCCAGCCAUGCCGCGUGUAGGAAGAAUGCCCUAUGGGUUGUAAACUACUUUUAUACAGGAAGAAACACUGGUAUGUAUACCAGCUUGACGGUACUGUAAGAAUAAGGACCGGCUAACUCCGUGCCAGCAGCCGCGGUAAUACGGAGGGUCCGAGCGUUAUCCGGAAUCAUUGGGUUUAAAGGGUCCGCAGGCGGUCGAUUAAGUCAGAGGUGAAAUCCC
rnacentral:rRNA from 1 species